GUGCCCGUCUUCCCUGCGACGGUUUUGGGGUGGAACAGGAGUGGCUCCUCAGGGGGAAAUGAAAGGAACUGAGGAGCUCCAGCCGUGAGAAGGCCAAUGAAGCAGGCACCGCCAGUUGGGAAAUGGACCUCCUUGGAUGCUGCAUUGUUUUCUCUGGCCCAGCUCCUGCUCGGGGCCUGAUGUACACCCUGGAUGGUGGCUACAGGUGGGGCACCCUGUGCUGCUCUGCAUCUCCAUCCAGUCCCCCAUCUCCAUCCAGUCCCCCAUCUCCACCCAAAACAGCUCAGUUCCCCAGAGAAGCUCCCUGGAAACCGGGAGGCUGACUUCUUCACCAACUGCAGAACCACCUGAGGCCACCUGGCAGAAUGCGAUCCAGGACUGCACGUGGCAUUCCGCUGCCGUGUCUCAGUGGGAUCCUUCCAUCCAGAACGGCUCCUCCGUCUUUCUCCUCCUCUCAUAAUUUUGACAGUUUUAAAACAUCCAGGCUAUUUUUGUCUUUCAUAACCUUGACACUCUUGAAGAGUACUGGCCAAUUAUUUUGUAGAAUGUCCUCCAACUUGAGUUUGUCUAGUGCUUUCUCACAAUGAGAAUGAGGUUUUGUGUUUUUGGUGAGAACACCACAGAAGCAGGUUAUACCCUUCCCCAUGCAUUAUAUCAGGAGGCACAUGUGAUAUUGCUGCAUCCCAUUACUGGAGACGUUAACUUUGAGAGAUGAUGUAGCAAAGAUUUCUCCAUUGUAAAAUCCUACUUUUCCUUCUGAACUUAAUGAGUAUCUUACGAGGAGCUGUCUUGGAGACUAUGUAAAUAUCUUGUUUAUCAUCAUACUUUCACCAACCAAUUUUGGCAUUCAUUGGUGAUUCUUGUCUGCAAUAUUAAUUACCACUGUGUUUUCCAACAGAUGAUUUUUCUACUUUCAUAAUUCCUUCUCCAUUUAUUAAUUGUAAUUCAGUGGUAAGGAAGAGCUGUCCCUUCUCUCCCAAUUACUUAUGCAAUUAUUUCAGUAUAGACUCAUGGAUAUUUAGUUUAUUCUACCAGUGAUAAUCCAUGACCAACAUCAUUUGUAUCAUUGUUCCAAUUGUCACAGGUAUGGCCAAUGUAAGCAUCUUCAAGUCACCCAUUGUGUUUGUUUGAAAUGCCCUUAUUCUAUUUUGAGCACUUCCUUUCUGACAUAAGAUGUUCCAGGAUUAUUUUAUAAUUUCACUGACCCCACCCUGUACUUAAUCACUUCUCCAAAGAACUCUGCUUCCUUUAUUGAGGGAAUGUAUUUAGAAUCUAAGAUCUGGGUGCUGGAUGUCCUCAUUGUUACUGAGGUGUCACUGUGUCUAGGGCCUCUCAGCAGACAGAGCUAGGGAAUAUGGGUUACCAACUCUGAAACUAUUUUAUGGGUAUUCUGAGAUUGAGCAAAUAAGUAAAUAUAUUGUAUUUAGUGGGAGGUAGGCAUCUCACUGUCAAAGAAAGAACUACAAAUAAAAAGGGAAGGGCAAAGUGAAACCUAUUGUGUUAGAUUAGAAUCAGAGGCAUCAGCAUGAGCUCCUGAUUUUUAAUGUAUGUACAGAUUGACAGAUAUAGAAAUAAAUAUGACCUGGCAAUUCCAUUCCUAGGCAUAUACCUAGCAGAAAUCCAUGGUCAUAGAAAAAACAUGGACAAGAAUGAUCAAGCUGGGCCUGGUGGCUCACGCCUGUAAUCCCAACACUUUGGGAGGCUGAGGCAAGCAGAUUGCUUGAGUCCAGGAGUUUGAGACCAGCCUGGGCAACAUGGCGAAACCCUGUCUCCACUAAAAAUACAAAAAUUAGCUGGGUGUGGUGGUGCAUGCCUGUAGUUCCAGCUACUUGAGAGGCUGAGGUAGGAGGAUGGCUUGAGCCUGUGAGUCAGAGACUGAAGGGAGCCAAGAUUGUACCACUGCACUCCAACCUGGGGAACAGAGUGAGACCCUGAAGAAAGAAAGAGAGAAAGAGAAAAGAAAGAAGAAAGAAAGGAAGAAAGAAAGAAAGAAAGAGAGAGAGAAAGAGGAAGAAAAAAAAAAGAAUGAUCAUAGGAUCAUAGCUGCACUAUUAUAAUAGUCCUAAGCUGUAAACUACGCAAAUUCCCGUUGACACCAGACUACAAAAUGAAUGACCGACCACUACAUGCAACAUUAUGGAUGAAAAUACAAUUGCGGAAAGACAUUUUCUCAAAAAAUGCUGUGUAAUACCAUUUAUAUAAAGCACAAACCAGGCAAAUUAAUCCAUGUCACAAGAACUCAGUAGCAAUUUUCUGCAAGAGAAACAAGGGGGUUUCUGAGCUGCUGGUAAUGUUCUGUCAUUUGGUCUGGGUGCUGGUUUCGUGGGUGUGUUUAAUUCUUAAAAUGUAUAUACGUUAUUCAUCAGUAAAAAGUUUUUAAAAAUAUUCAU
rnacentral:lncRNA from 1 species